rnacentral:rRNA from 1 species
GGGCCCGCACAAGCGGUGGAGCAUGUGGUUUAAUUCGAUGCAACGCGAAGAACCUUACCAGGGUUUGACAUCCUGCGAAUCUCUUGGAAACGAGAGAGUGCCUUCGGGAACGCAGUGACAGGUGGUGCAUGGCUGUCGUCAGCUCGUGUCGUGAGAUGUUGGGUUAAGUCCCGCAACGAGCGCAACCCACGUCUUUAGUUGCCAGCAUUUAGUUGGGCACUCUAGAGAGACUGCCGGUUAUAAACCGGAGGAAGGUGGGGAUGACGUCAAGUCAGCAUGCCCCUUACACCCUGGGCUACACACGUGCUACAUUGGGCGAGACAAUGAGAUGCAGCCACUACGCGAGUAGGAGCG